CCUACGGGCGGCAGCAGUGAGGAAUAUUGGUCAAUGGACGCGAGUCUGAACCAGCCAUGCCGCGUGCAGGAAGACGGAUCUAUGAGUUGUAAACUUCUUUUGUACGAGGAUAAACUCCGGUACGCGUCUCUGUCUGCAAGUAUCGUACGAAUAAGGAUCGGCUAACUCCGUGCCAGCAGCCGCGGUAAUACGGAGGAUUCAAGCGUUAUCCGGCUUUAUUGGGUUUAAAGGGUGCGUAGGCGGUCGUAUAAGUUAGAGGUGAAAUCCCGAGGCUCAACUUAGGAAUUGCCGGUGAUACUGUUCGGAUAGAGAGUAGUUGAGGCAGGCGGAAUGUAUGGUGUAGCGGUGAAAUGCUUAGAGAUCAUACAGAACACCGAUUGCGAAGGCAGCUUACCAAGCUAUGUCUGACGUUGAGGCACGAAAGCGUGGGGAGCAAACAGGAUUAGAUACCCGAGUAGUC
rnacentral:rRNA from 1 species